rnacentral:lncRNA from 1 species
UUCACUAUUGUCCCCUUCUUCAAAGCCUCCAUCAUCGUCACUAACAUGGAUUGGGGUCUGGUUACCUUCGUCCUCUUCCUCCAUCGUAGUGUCUUCGCCAUCUUUACCCUCUUGCUGGGGAUUGAAUGUGCCUUCGAUGUUGCGUGAACCGUCUCCAGGAUUGUCUCCAACUUGAACUUCUUCAUCCACCACCAUGGUAUCUUGGUUCACUCUAGUGUCG